rnacentral:rRNA from 1 species
UACGUAGGUGGCAAGCGUUGUCCGGAAUUAUUGGGCGUAAAGAGCUCGUAGGCGGUUUGUCGCGUCUGCUGUGAAAACUCGGGGCUUAACUCCGGGCCUGCAGUGGGUACGGGCAGACUAGAGUGCGGUAGGGGAGACUGGAAUUCCUGGUGUAGCGGUGAAAUGCGCAGAUAUCAGGAGGAACACCGGUGGCGAAGGCGGGUCUCUGGGCCGUAACUGACGCUGAGGAGCGAAAGCGUGGGGAGCGAACAGG